GACGAACGCUGGCGGCGUGCCUAAUACAUGCAAGUCGAGCGGACCGAAGGGGAGCCUUGCUCCUUUAGGUUAGCGGCGGACGGGGUGAGUAACAACGUGGGCAACCUGCCCUCCAGACUGGGAUAAAUUCGGGAAACCGGGAGCUAAUACCGGAUAACACCGAAAACCGCAUGGUUUUCGGUUGAAAGGCGGCUUUUAGCUGUCACUGCAGGAUGGGCCCGCGGCGCAUUAGCUAGUUGGUGAGGUAACGGCUCACCAAGGCGACGAUGCGUAGCCGACCUGAGAGGGUGACCGGCCACACUGGGACUGAGACACGGCCCAGACUCCUACGGGAGGCAGCAGUAGGGAAUCUUCCGCAAUGGACGAAAGUCUGACGGAGCAACGCCGCGUGAGCGAAGAAGGUCUUCGGAUCGUAAAGCUCUGUUGUCAGGGAAGAACAAGUACCGUUCGAACAGGGCGGUACCUUGACGGUACCUGACGAGGAAGCCACGGCUAACUACGUGCCAGCAGCCGCGGUAAUACGUAGGUGGCAAGCGUUGUCCGGAAUUAUUGGGCGUAAAGCGCGCGCAGGCGGUUCCUUAAGUCUGAUGUGAAAUCUCGCGGCUCAACCGCGAGCGGCCAUUGGAAACUGGGGAACUUGAGUGCAGGAGAGGGGAGCGGAAUUCCACGUGUAGCGGUGAAAUGCGUAGAGAUGUGGAGGAACACCAGUGGCGAAGGCGGCUCUCUGGCCUGUAACUGACGCUGAG
rnacentral:rRNA from 1 species